UGUGUUUGUGAGCCAUCUACCGAAUCGUUGCAAUUGAUGUUCGAUCCCGAAGAGAAGGAAGAGAUCUUAGAAAAGUAGGGUAUACGAUCCGGUAA